rnacentral:rRNA from 1 species
UAUUGGUCAAUGGGCGGAAGCUUGAACCAGCCAUCCCGCGUGCAGGAAGACAGCCCUAUGGGUUGUAAACUGCUUUUCCAGUGGGCGAAACACUCGUACGUGUACGAGAUUGACGGUACACUGGGAAUAAGCAUCGGCUAACUCCGUGCCAGCAGCCGCGGUAAUACGGAGGAUGCAAGCGUUAUCCGGAUUUAUUGGGUUUAAAGGGUGCGUAGGCGGAUGAAUAAGUCAGUGGUGAAAGGCUGCAGCUUAACUGUAGACUUGCCGUUGAUACUGUUUAUCUUGAGUAUGGUCAAGGCAGGCGGAAUGUGUAAUGUAGCGGUGAAAUGCUUAGAUAUUACACAGAACACCGAUUGCGAAGGCAGCUUGCUGGGCCAUUACUGACGCUGAUGCACGAAAGCGUGGGGAGCGAACAGG